CUAUACGAGCUCACCUCAGGCGUAUGGCGAGGCUCUUAGGUCACUAUCGCCACGCUUGACUUGGCACUGGCUUUUUCCUCCCACACACAGGGGCCUGUGUUACCUGUACUAAUUUUGGGUAUGGUAAUUCAUCCGGCAUCGAGGUACGCUGCGUGUUCUCCACGCAUGCUCUACUCCAAAGACGUUCUUCUUUGCACAGAGUCUAAUAGACCUAUAUCCUUCCUAUUAUGUGGGAACCACAGAACUGCGCCGCAUAAUCUACAUGUGGAUGUGGUCUGACCAGCACAAAAUAUAAUUUUAAUGUUACUUCGGGACUUUUGCUUUUAACACUCGUAGAAAUUAACCCUAGUACCCUAUUUGCCUCAUUUCUAGCCUUUAUGCAUUGUUUUCUAUAUAUCUCCUAAAUCUUUUUCAUAUUUUGAACCUAACAGGGCCUCACUGUUUAUUGUGUACCUAUUGUGUGGAUUUCCUCCACCUACACUAAGUACUGUGCAUCUGUUAAUGUUAAACUGCGUCCAUC